GUCAGAAAGGACUCGCUGGCACUUGGGAAGAGAGAAGUAUCCAGAGUCCCAGCUACACCUGUGUGUUUUCUGCUCUAACACCUAAAGAGCCUCAGAGAGCUUGUGCUUGAGGGAACUGCCAUCUCCAAAUCCUACCAACCUCCAUCCUCUUAAUUCCCCCAACUCCUCGUCCACCGUAGUAGGAAGCAUCCACCGUGGGCCACUUCUUGGAAGGCAAGGGCUCCUGUUCUUCUUCCUUCUCUUCCCAUUCUCUUUGUCACAUCCACGCUGUAAAGCUCAGAGAAUGCCCAGCGCUGACAGUCCCAGCAGGGGAGAGGCAGGCAAGGAACCCUCUUCAGUGAUUCAGCUGAAAACUGAAUGCACAGCCAUUCCUCCACGAGAAAAGCAGGGACGCUGCCCUGAAACCCAGGACUGCUAAGCCAAAAGUGGCCCUCCCAGGUGAUGGAUGUCCAAGCCUGAUGUGCCAGCAAGAAGGGCAGAAACUGAGGCACAGCACGAGGAGCAGCUGGCAAAACCAGAGGGAAGGAUCAAUAUUCCGCAGUAGGUUCAGUGCAACAGCGUGGGGGCUUGAAACUCAGCACUGUUGUAGCAAAGAGGCCUAAGAUUACCUUUUCUUUUGAAGUAACAAAUAGUAUCCACAGGAGGUGGGAGGAAACACAGAGGGCACAAACUUUCGAAGAACUAUGGUUUUAUAAGGGAAUUGAUAAUAUAGAGCUAUUCACUGGACUGCUUCAUGUAGGAAUUUUAAUUUAUGAAGCUGGUUUAUGAAUCAAGGUUAGGUUUUUUAAAAUAAGCAAACCAGCAACUUGCUCCUUACUGAUUUCCAAUGUUCCUUUUCCACAAGGAGGCUCACCAUAUAAAAUAAAGUGGAGGAAUCCCAGAGGGUGAAGGUGCAGAUGGAGGCUGAGAUGUCCUGCCCUUGGACAGCCUGGGGCCUGAUGGACUCCCCCAGGUCACAUGGGCUGCCGCCAGAGAAGGCAGAGAAGCCAGGAUGUGUGUCCCACCCGUGGCUCAGGGUGCAGCAGCUGUUCCCCAAGGUCUGUACUCACCACUUUGCAGCAGAG